ensembl:snRNA U5 U5 spliceosomal RNA
AGGCUCCAGCACCCCCCGUGACCCUGAUGGAGAAGUGGAUGGAUGCACAAAUCUUUUGCCUUUUACUAAAGAUUUCCGUGGAGGGAAACGUUGACGAGUUUUUAUUUUUGAAGGCUCUGCUAAGGCAGAGCU